UACGAAGGGGGCUAGCGUUGUCCGGAAUUAUUGGGCGUAAAGAGCUCGUAGGCGGUUCGUCACGUCGGCUGUGAAAUCCCGAGGCUCAACCUCGGGUCUGCAGUCGAUACGGGCGGACUUGAGUACUGCAGGGGAGACUGGAAUUCCUGGUGUAGCGGUGAAAUGCGCAGAUAUCAGGAGGAACACCGGUGGCGAAGGCGGGUCUCUGGGCCGAUACUGACGCUGGAGGAGCGAAAGCGUGGGGAGCGAACAGG
rnacentral:rRNA from 1 species